UUGAGUUGACAGGCGUAGCGCUAACUGUUCCGUGUAUCGUCGUGCAUUAUCUCUUGAAACGUGGUCACAAGUGCUAGAAGAUAUACAUCGUAAAAAUCUUCGUGCUUAUUAGAGGAGAGGACGAGAGGGAACGAGCGAGAGAGAGAGAGAGAGAGAGUGAGUGAGAAAGACGAUAAAUAAGGAUGACGAUACAACUACGUCGUUGUCGUCUGACGUCAACGAUGGCAACGACGACGAUGGUACUGGACGAUGGCGACUACGACGACGAUAUAGGACGACGACGACGACGCCGGGCGAUGCCGAUAAGACAUGCGAUUUAAAUUAGAUUUAAAAGCAGGACGCAUAUGUGAACUAUGAUGAGGACAGCCC